rnacentral:tRNA from 1 species
AUCCUGAUAGCCUAAUGGUUAAGGCGCUGGCCUCCUAAUCCAGAGAUUAUGGGUUUGAGUCCUGUUUGGAGUG